AUGAAAGCGAAGGACCGAAAGCCAUUAUCACUUCUAUUUGACAUCACAAAAGGUUUCUCUGAUGAUCUGAAAAUCGGAAGUGGUGGUUUCGCGGUGAUUUAUAAGGGAAUUCUUGGCAAUGGAUUUGUUGCCGUGAAGAGGCUGAAUAAUUCGUAUAUGAUUGAGAAAGAAUUCCUCCAAGAAGUGAAAUGUCUGAUGAAGGUGAAGCACCAAAAUAUAGUAAGAUUUCUUGGAUACUGCACUGACACACAAGGGGUUGUGGAGACGUACAACGGGAAUUUUGUCAUGGCAGAUGUACAACAAAGAUUGUUCUGCUUUGAGUAUGUACCUAAUGGUAACCUUGGUGCUUAUAUCAGUGAGGCGUCUCAUGGACUUGAAUGGAGAAAGCGCUAUGAAAUUAUAAAGGGAAUCUGUGAGGGUAUAAAUUAUCUUCACCAGAAUAAUAUUGUUCACUCAGAUCUCAAUCCCGCGAAUAUACUACUAGAUGAUAAUAUGGUGCCAAAAAUCGCUGACUUUGGAGUCUCAAGGUGCUUUCGUGAUAGCCAAAGUGGCGAUAUUCUUACAAAAGUGGUUGGAACAAUGGGAUAUAUGGCACCAGAAUUUUUUAGCGGAAAAAUCAAGUUGAAAUCAGAUAUAUAUAGUCUUGGUGUUAUAAUCACGGAGAUAGUGGCAGGAAAGAGGCAUACCGAAGAAGACGAUAUAAUUAAAAUUUGGAGGAAUAGGUUGCAGAGAUCGAAAGAACACUCACAGUUGGAGCAAGUAAAAGUGUGCGCUAAGCUUGGGACAGUUUAA
rnacentral:rRNA from 1 species